rnacentral:rRNA from 1 species
GAUGAACGCUAGCGGCAGGCUUAGUACAUGCAAGUCGAGGGACAGCACAGGUAGCAAUACUGGGUGGUAACCGGCAAACGGGUGCGGAACACGUACACAACCUUCCUUUAAGUGGGGGAUAGCCCAGAGAAAUUUGGAUUAAUACCCCGUAAUAUAGUUGAAUGGCAUCAUUUGAUUAUUAUAGCUACGGCGCUUAAUGAUGGGUGUGAGGCUGAUUAGAUAGUUGGCGGGGUAACGGCCCACCAAGUCUACGAUCAGUAGCUGAUGUGAGAGCAUGAUCAGCCAAACGGGCACUGAGACACGGGCCCGACUCCUACGGGAGGCAGCAGUAAGGAAUAUUGGUCAAUGGACGCAAGCCUGAACCAGCCAUGCCGCGUGAAGGAUUAAGGUCCUCUGGAUUGUAAACUUCUUUUAUUUGGGACGAAAAAGGGCCUUUCUAGGUCAACUGACGGUACCAGAUGAAUAAGCACCGGCUAACUCCGUGCCAGCAGCCGCAGUAA